ensembl:lncRNA
CACCAGGGCCUUUCAUCAAAAGCAGGGCCCUGGCACAUCCCUCUGGAGCAGUCUCUGAUGAGUGACUUGUCUCCGAGUCACUAUUAGUGACAUUCAGGGCAGGAUGACCUUCCUGUUCGGGGCUGUGCCCAGGUCUCAUCUGCAGGACUCGCCAGCAGCAGGUGUAUUUCAUCUCCUGGCUCCAAGGUACACUCAGAAAUGAUGAACUGAAUGUAUGAGCACUCUGUAACCUUGCCAAGUUGACAUGAAAUCAUCAUAAGAGCCCAUCUGUGAGAGAGCCCUAAGGGACCCUGGAGGAGAGUACCAGCUAACUGGAGUCUAUGUAUAAACUUACAUUCUGGUUAAGGUGAGUUCUGCUCCCCUCCCCAGUGCUCUUGUUUCUCCUUCUUUCGACAUGGAAGAAAUGUGAUGCUGGAGUGUUUGUGGUUAGCCAUGUUUUGUGAGUAAGAGAAUAAGUGCUGUAUCGUGUUUGAGAAGGGCACAACGACUAGAAAUUCCAG